rnacentral:rRNA from 1 species
CAGCCGCCGCGGGAACACGAAGGGUGCAAGCGUUAAUCGGAAUUACUGGGCGUAAAGCGUGCGUAGGCGGUUUGUUAAGUCUGCUGUGAAAUCCCCGGGCUCAACCUGGGAAUGGCAGUGGAUACUGGCAAGCUAGAGUGUGUCAGAGGAUGGUGGAAUUCCCGGUGUAGCGGUGAAAUGCGUAGAGAUCGGGAGGAACAUCAGUGGCGAAGGCGGCCAUCUGGGACAACACUGACGCUGAGGCACGAAAGCGUGGGGAGCAAACAGGAUUAGAUACCCCCGUAGUCCCUGUCUCUUAUAC